rfam:Aeromicrobium sp. Root472D3 contig_1, whole genome shotgun sequence.
CCCUUCGUCCCGGGCGACGGCUGUGCCACACUGAAUCAGCUCACGGCAACGGUGCAAGGAACCCGGUGGAACUCCGGGACGGUCGCGCCACUGUGACCGGGUCACCAGACCCGGGAGUCAGAGACUUCUCCGUUGCCUCCACUCAUAU